UACGGAGGGUGCGAGCGUUGUUCGGAAUUACUGGGCGUAAAGCGCGCGUAGGCGGCUUUGUAAGUUAGAGGUGAAAGCCCGGAGCUCAACUCCGGAAUAGCCUUUAAGACUGCAUUGCUAGAACGUUGGAGAGGUAAGUGGAAUUCCGAGUGUAGAGGUGAAAUUCGUAGAUAUUCGGAAGAACACCAGUGGCGAAGGCGACUUACUGGACAACUGUUGACGCUGAGGUGCGAAAGCGUGGGGAGCAAACAGG
rnacentral:rRNA from 1 species